GGUCCUCCGCGCGACAUUUAUGGCACAACCCCCGCCAACGUUUCCUGAUUGGUCGAUCUUAGCACCGAGAUUCGAAAGUAAGAUGGUAGGUCGUCGUGACGUCACAAUUUAGCCAUCCGCAUUUAGGAAAAUCAGAAAAGCUGUUAGAUAUGUUUCUUCCUACUCUCGUGGGAGUCUAUUUUCGUUGACCCGUAUAUGCCAGUGGUUCGUGAAAACUAGCGCGUUAGUCCUGUUAGAGUAACACCUCCAUUUCUUUUUAAUGCCAACUAUGCACUCGUAUGCUGCGUUUUGAAGAAUCAUUGAGCAUUAGCAAGGAAAAAAUAACAUGAACGUAAAUUAAAUUUUUAUUUAAAACACUAAAAACACACACGCCAGACACGUAUAUGUGUAUAGAAAGUCACAAGUUUAUUUCGUAUUUUUAUAACAAGCGAAUCAUCAAUCUUACUAGUUUGCUAUAGCACCUAUAAACGUUUAGUAAAAAUAGCACGACCAGUCAAGACGAUUAUUCGAUCGAUGAAUUUAAAUUGUGAUUCGAUCCUUAUUGAUCCAUAGAUCUAUUUAUUCUUGAAAGAACACUCGUGAGAGAAAACUCGUGAUAAUUAUACGAUUUGGAUUUGUUACAGUACAAUAUUACGGAUUAGUUUAGAUGUUUACACCGAGAGUGUAAUUUCAACUGCGUCAAAUUUAAUAUAUUCAUUCUGAACUUUA
rnacentral:lncRNA from 1 species